rnacentral:lncRNA from 1 species
AAAAAAAAAACCAAAAAACAACAGACCUUCCAUAUUUCAGUUGUGUUAGAAAAAUAAAUAAAUGAAUUAGGGCAACGAUUGUAAUAUGGCAUAGUAGUGACAGGUCAGAUCUUGAAGCCUGCAUUAUGGUUUUACUAUUUAAACACAAACCGUUUCACCAUCAAUGGUAAAUAUAUAAAAUGGAUUUGACUAAAGAGCAUUAAUUAACAGGAAUUAUUGAAUCAUUGCCUUCCUUAGAUUUUAACUGUUUGCAUGAAAAAGGACCAGUAACAGAAAAUUACAACAGAAAUGGAGCGCAAGAAAUAUUCAAGGCCUAAUUUGUGCGGUAGACAAUUUAUAUUUUCAGUCAGUUCAUCCAUAUAUAUGUAUCAUUGUAAAAAAACAACAAAAUAACGGGUAUAAUAAGUAUAUAUACAGUUAGUACAGGUUCAAGUAAAUGGGCAACAUAACUGACUUCACCCCAACAGCAGGUUCAAGUAAAUGGGCAAAAUAACUGACUUCACCCUAACAGCAGGUUCAAGUAAAUGGGCAACAUAACUGACUUCACCCCAACAGCAGGUUCAAGUAAAUGGGCAAAAUAACUGACUUUACCCUAACGGUAAAAAACCUGAUAAUCUGAUAAUGUGCGAUAAAAGAUGUAAUAGUCAUCGUCGUAUGAAAUACACUGUAUAUUAGUAUGUCUUGAAGAUAAGUCGUCAAGGACUACAGGUUUAUAAGACAACUUAAAUUAGGCUUGUAGUAGAGGUCAUUAGAAUUUUGGGGGAAUAAAUUUUAUCAAAUUUAUUGUGGCGGAAAAUUCUAUGACUGGGCGAGCAGGCAGGCGCAUGUUCUUGUGGGAUAAGUCAGAGUUAAUGUUACAAUCUUUUGAUGGUUGUAUGUUGUUGUUAUAAUGAUGUAUUCCACUAGGUCGGUUGACAGUAUAUCGAACCAUUGGUUGCUUGUCUGUUGUUAAAGUGAUGCUAACCGCAAGCUCUGUUAACACUUUAGUGUGUUAACCGCUAGGUCAGUUAAAUUGUGUUAACCGCUAGGUCGGUUAAAGUGUGUUAACCGCUAGGGCGGUUUAAAGUGUGUUAACAGCUAGGUCGGUCAAAGUGUGUUAACCGCUAAGUCGGUUAAAGUGUGUUAACCGCUAUGUCGAUUUAAAGUCUGUUAACCGCUAGGUCGUCUUAACAGCUAGGUCAGUUUUCAGUGUGUUACCGCUAUGUUGGUUUGCGGAUAGGUCCGUUUACAUUGUGAACUAGGUUUUGCCCAUUACUACAUAGCGUAAUUCCUAGUUUCACAGGCCCGCAGUCCGCAGUUGCUAUUUAAGUCAAUUUAUUGAUGAAAACAUGCGCUUGCUUGCUCGUCAGUCAGUGGGCCUGAUAUCAUGCGGCCUUUUCUGCCACUUAUUUAUACUACUGAUAAUUUGAUAUACAAUAUUGUUUGAUAUCUUUGGCAUAACUUGUUUGUAUAGAAGUGUUGACCUGGAAUAAAGUGCUAUUGCUUGUA